CUUCGGACAUUUUGCAAGGUGCUGCAUGGUUGUCGUCAGCUCGUGCCGUGAGGUGUCGGGUUAAGUCCCAUAACGAGCGCAACCCUAUUGUUAGUUGCCAUCAGGUCAUGCUGGGGACUCUAACAAAACUGCCCGCGUAAGGCGUGGAGGAAGGUGGGGAUGACGUCAAAUCAGCACGGCCCUUACGUCCAGGGCUACACACGUGCUACAAUGGCCGGUACAGAGGGCAGCCACUUGGUGACAAGGAGCAAAUCUCAAAAGCCGGUCUCAGUUCGGAUCGGAGUCUGCAACUCGACUCCGUGAAGUUGGAUUCGCUAGUAAUCGUAGAUCAGCAAUGCUACGGUGAAUACGUUCCCGGGCCUU
rnacentral:rRNA from 1 species